CUCAAAAUGGGUGGUAAAUUUCAUCUARAGCUAAAUACCGGCCAGAGACCGAUHGCGCACAAGUAGAGUGAUCGAAAGAUGAAAAGCWYUUUGAAAAGAGAGUCAAACAGUACGUGAAAUUGUUGAAAGGGAAGCGCUUGCCAUCASAUSUGCUCUCGGGUGAUCMSCSGCCWCUCGYGACGGUGCACUCSCUCGGGGGCRGGCCAGCAUCGGUUCGCGCGGSGGGACAAAGGGYCGGGGAACGUAKCUUCCCUCGGGGAGUCUUAUASCCCCGGSCGUWRUGCCSCCCGGGKGGACCGAGGAUCGCGCUCCGGCUADGAUGCUGGCGUARUGAUUGCAAGCGACCCGUCUUGAAACACGGACCARGGAGUCUAACAUUUAUGCGAGUGUUUGGGUGUAAAACCCACGCGCGRAAUGAAAGUGAACGGAGGUGGGAACCCCGCGAGGGGCGCACCAUCGACCGAUCCAGAUGUCUUCGGAUGGAUUUGAGUACGAGCAUAGCUGUUGGGACCCGAAAGAUGGUGAACUAUGCCUGAAUAGGGUGAAGCCAGAGGAAACUCUGGUGGAGGCUCGCAGCGGUUCUGACGUGCAAAUCGAUCGUCAAAUUUGGGUAUAGGGGCGAAAGACUAAUCGAACCAUCUAGUAGCUGGUUCCUGCCGAAGUUUCCCUCAGGAUAGCAGUAACGUUUUCAGUUUUAUGAGGUAAGCGAAUGAUUAGAGGCCUUGGGGUUGAAMCACCUUAACCUAUUCUCAACUUUAAAUAUGUARAAGUCUUGUGCUUA
rnacentral:rRNA from 1 species